rnacentral:pre_miRNA from 1 species
AGCCUUCUGCAUCUGUGCUUAGAUUUCGUCAGGUGCCAACCCGUUGGGGCUGAUGCAACUUCCCAGAUAAGUGAAGCG